GCCCCGGGGCGCCAUGGGAGUUGUAGUGCGCAGGCGGUUGGAGCGCCGCCAUUUGCAAAGCGCUUUAUAGCUCGAGGGGGGAGUCUCGUUUCGGGUCCAGAAGGCGCAGCGCGUCAUUUGUGCUGCUGUAAGUGAUGCCUGAGGGUUAUCAGUGAGGAAAUGGAAGAAAUGAGGCCGGUGACUUGUUCCCCGUGUCCCCAUGUAUGACCAGAAGGCACAGCCAGCGUUUGCAGUUGUCCCUGGUAAAACUCUUCUGAGUCAGAUUCAAAUGAAUCCCUGAGCCCAGCUGAAAGGCGUGCUCCGCAAACCAGGAGCCUUGCCUUGUUCCAAGCAGAACCUAUAAUUCUGCAAUUCAGACAUAACAGCAGUUUGUAGGAGUAUCCCAAAGAGGACCGUGGCUGCUCGUCCUUCUUCCUGCAGCUCCCAGGAAAGACCAAUGUGAAGAAAACUUUUCCAUGCCUGUGAGAGUCAAUCUGUGGCAACUGGUGUGUCUAAUUUCAGAGCAGAAGUACUUCUGAAGGAGAGAGGAUUAAAACGGGAGGGGAGAAGUUCCCCUGCGGGAGAUUGUCAACAGAUGUUCCAUUAUAGUUCAAAGAGCCUUAGCAAAAGGCUUCUGCUGCAGGGAUGUAUUAAUUCUGGGCAGUUCAUCACAGGGAGACCUGUUUUAUGGUUGGGAGGAUACCUGUGGUAACUUACUGUGCUCUUUAUUUGAACUGUGGGUGGGGGAUUGGGUCUACCUGUGAACAGAGAGGGAACUGAGCAGUAGGAACAGAAACACGCUUUUUUUUCUUGCAGCUGUGACCACCGCUCGUCUGAUCGAGAUCAUGCUGGUGUUGUGGUUCAGGGAGUUAUUUGGCUGAUGGGUCUUUCAAAAGAAAAAUGAUUGCAGAGGAACUGAGGCUAACCAUUGUUGAACUGCUGGUGCAUGAGGAGCAGACCUGGGCUAAGGACUUCUUUCAAGUGUAUUCACUAGGCAGGAAGUGGGACUGAGCACACAGAAGGCUGUGCAGGCUGCCAUGCAGAUCAGUGCAUUGAUUGCUUUGUCUGUAAAACGCACAAAUCUAUCAAGUUUGACACCGUCUGGCAUCCUAUGUU
rnacentral:lncRNA from 1 species